CCUUGACAGACACGUUCACAACAUCUCAGGUGUCUCCAACAGGACAGAAGAUCAAGACUAAACCCAGAAAUUCCUGGUUCUGUUGCUUGGUUUCUUCAACACAAUGAGAGCUAAUCUGUUUGUCGCUGCACUCUGCCUCCUGGGUACAGUAAUCCUGUGCCAAGCGGACACAACACCACGUCCAACUU